CAGAUUAUUAUUCUAAGUGUCUGAUAACAUUAUGAAAGGAUCCCUACAGAGAUAGACCUUUUUAAACCUCUUUGAGACCUUUCUGUUUAACCAGAAACAGCUCUGAAGUCUCUAGCACUAAACCCACCAGACUCCAUUUAAAAAAACAGUACUUUUAGCGUGUAUAGAGCCAGCAUAUUUCCACAUGUAAAUCGGUUAACUAUGUGUUUAUUUCAACCAAAACUAAAGUUGUGAUGGUUGGUAAAGUGGUAAGACGACCCAAAACAGCUUUUCAUAGUUUUAUUUUGUUUCUGUCGACUUUGAAUAAAGUGUGUUUCACAAUGCUAAAAUGACUGUUUAUUUACAUGGAGUCUGGUGGCAAUUUCAGAGCUGUUUAAUGUUAAACUAAAAAGGUCUAUCUCUGUAGGGAUCCUUUCCAUAAUGUUGUCAGACACUUAGAAUAAUAAUCUGAGUCUGUCAGCAGCAACAUAACUUUUAGUUCCGAUAACGUCACAUUGCAGCUUGUGUCUUGUUCCCAUCAGUCACUUAGACACAAAAAAAUAGGGUGCAGGUUGAAAAACAAACUAUCAGUCCUGCACCAGGCGUCUCAGACCAUUUGGGGUGGGGACUCCUUCACCCUUUAUAUCCAUCGAAGAUGUUGCGAUUCAGUGAAAACGUGGAGCACUUAUGUCAGUCCCUGUCUGGCGUGAUACCUCCAGCAGUGAAACGGAAACAGCCUCAUCAUCACAAUCAAACCGAUCAAAGUCAACACAGACAUGCUGAUCAGAGGGUCACUGAGGCCGAAGAUCAAAGACGAUCCAUUGCUCCGCUGGGGGAGGGGGGGGGGAAGACAGGGG